AAGGCUUCAGUACGACCCAGUCAGAACUAUAAGUCUCAAAGCCCCGACGAGUAGGGUGGCGUGCCGGUGCGCGUUGAAGGCCAAGACGUGAGUCAGGCUGGAGCCGCCGGUAGUGCAGAUCUUGGUGGUAGUAGCAAGUACUCUGGUGAACCAACCUGGAGCUGUGAGGUCUGGAUCAGGGUUCCAUGUCAACAGUGAUUGAACAUGGGUGAGUCGAUCCUAAGCCAACUGUGAAAGCAGUGACAUCCCGACAAAGGGGCGUAUUACGUGUACCGGUCACUUGCACCCCUGCACACACACUGAGGCAAAGUCUGGCUGUCUGGAAGGAAAGAACCCGCGCGCGCAUCGUGAUCACAGUCAAGUGUGCGUGCGUUAGCGCGGGAGGGAAGCAAAAGGUCUGGUUACGCUCAAAAGCGUUGCUCUUAACGGAAAGAGCGUGUGUGUUGCAGGUGCGCGCGAGUCUGACUUACAUGAUGUCCCCUGCGUCUGGUUCUAUGUCUGGCGAAAGGGAAUGGGGACUUUGUUCCUUGACCGGUCCCGGCACCCUCGAUAGGCUUUGCCAAUCAAUGGUCCAUGCAAAUGGAACCAGGCCACAGCCGCUGGCAGUCGCCCGAGGAAGAGUUUUCUUUUCUGCUUAACGCACGAGAUCAUCCCUGGAAACAGUUCGGCUGGCGAAAGGGUGCCCCGUUGCGGCAGAGCGCCACGACUGUCGUGCGCGUCUCGGUGUUCCUGCCGGUCCGUGAAGACGUGGUCGAGGGGAUUGCUAUCUUGUAUCAACGAAACGCCCGACAAGUUCGGGACGGACCGUACCCUAUAUCCGCAUCUGGUCUCCAAGGUUCGUAGCCUCUGCAGAGUCAGACACAUGUAGGUAAGGGAAGUCGGCAAACUCGAUCCGUAACUUCGGGAAAAGGAUUGGCUCUGAGGGCUGAGCUGGGCCGGGCCUUGCCUGCAAAGCAGUACCUAUAGUGACCGGAGUUUCAGGAGUGCGAGGGGCUCUAGUAGCUGCCCGCGUUCGCGUGGGCACGAACGAGUCCACCGCUCCGCUCCAACCACGAACGGCUGUGACGGCAAGGGCUCUGGGCGGGAGCGUUCAAACCGUUGGCCCCCAGCUCGUCUGGGUGGCGGCGGUGCUCCGUCUGACCCAUACGGCUCCAGCGGCUAGCGGCUAACUCAGAACUGUCAUGGACCAAGGGAAUCCGACUGUCUAAUUAAAACAAAGCGUCGUGACGGCCCCUGUUGGGUGUUGACGCGACG
rnacentral:rRNA from 1 species